rnacentral:rRNA from 1 species
UACAGAGGUCCCGAGCGUUGUUCGGAUUCACUGGGCGUAAAGGGUGCGUAGGUGGCGAGGUAAGUCGGAUGUGAAAGCUCGGAGCUCAACUCCGAAAUGGCAUUGGAAACUACCUUGCUCGAGGGUUGGAGGGGGGACUGGAAUACUUGGUGUAGCAGUGAAAUGCGUAGAUAUCAAGUGGAACACCAGUGGCGAAGGCGAGUCCCUGGACAACUCCUGACACUGAGGCACGGAAGCUAGGGGAGCAAACAGG